CAUGCGCUCGCUACCAUGCAAGUCGAACGGAGAACAUUUAUCAUUACAUGUUCUUACUGGCGGACGGGUGAGUAACGCGUGAGGAACCUACCUUUCGGAGGGGAAUAACACAUCCAAAGAUGUGCUAAUACCGCAUAACGUCAUUGGGUGGCAUCAUCCGAUGACCAAAGGAGCAAUCUGCCGAAAGAUGGCCUCGCGUCCGAUUAAAUAGUUGGUGAGGUAACGGCCCACCAAGUCUGCGAUCGGUAGCCGGACUGAGAGGUUGAACGGCCACGUUGGGACUGAGACACGGCCCAUACUCCUACGGGAGGCAGCGGUGGGGGAUAUUAGUCGAUGGAGGAAACUCUGAACUAGCGACGCCGCGUGAGGGAAGAAGGUCUUCGGAUUGUAAACCUCUGUCUUCGGGGACGAUAAUGACGGUACCCGAGGAGGAAGCCCCGGCUAACUACGUGCCAGCAGCCGCGGUAAUACGUAGGGGGCAAGCGUUAUCCGGAUUUAUUGGGUGUAAAGGGUGCGUAUGCGGGAAAGCAAGUUGAAUGUGAAAUACCGGGGCUCAACUCCGGGGCUGCGUUCAAAACUGUUUUUCUUGAGUACAGCAGAGGCAAGCGGAAUUCCCAGUGUAGCGGUAAUAUGCGUAGAUAUUGGGAGGAACACCGGUGGCGAAGGCGGCUUGCUGGGCUGCAACUGACGCUGAAGCACGAAAGUGUGGGGAGCAAACAGGAUUAGAUACCCUGGUAGUCCACACUGUAAACGAUGAUUACUAGGUGUGGGGAGAUUGACCCUCUCCGUGCCGCAGUUAACACAAUAAGUAAUCCACCUG
rnacentral:rRNA from 1 species